rnacentral:rRNA from 1 species
AUUGAACGCUGGCGGCAGGCUUAACACAUGCAAGUCGAGCGGGGUGAUGGUGCUUGCACUAUCACUUAGCGGCGGACGGGUGAGUAAUGCUUAGGAAUCUGCCUAUUAGUGGGGGACAACAUCUCGAAAGGGAUGCUAAUACCGCAUACGUCCUACGGGAGAAAGCAGGGGAUCACUUGUGACCUUGCGCUAAUAGAUGAGCCUAAGUCGGAUUAGCUAGUUGGUGGGGUAAAGGCCUACCAAGGCGGCGAUCUGUAGCGGGUCUGAGAGGAUGAACCGCCACACUGGGACUGAGACACGGCCCAGACUCCUACGGGAGGCAGCAGUGGGGAAUAUUGGACAAUGGGGGGAACCCUGAUCCAUCCAUGCCGCGUGUGUGAAGAAGGCCUUAUGGUUGUAAAGCACUUUAAGCGAGGAGGAGGCUCUUUUGGUUAAUACCCAAGAUGAGUGGACGUUACUCGCAGAAUAAGCACCGGCUAACUCUGUGCCAGCCGCCGCGGUAA